rnacentral:rRNA from 1 species
GACGAACGCUGGCGGCGUGCUUAACACAUGCAAGUCGAACGGUAAGGCUCCAGCUUGCUGGGGUACACGAGUGGCGAACGGGUGAGUAACACGUGGGUGACCUGCCCCGCACUUCGGGAUAAGCCUGGGAAACUGGGUCUAAUACCGGAUAGGACCAUGGUGUGGAUACUGUGGUGGAAAGUUUUUUCGGUGUGGGAUGGGCCCGCGGCCUAUCAGCUUGUUGGUGGGGUAAUGGCCUACCAAGGCGGCGACGGGUAGCCGGCCUGAGAGGGUGGACGGCCACAUUGGGACUGAGACACGGCCCAGACUCCUACGGGAGGCAGCAGUGGGGAAUAUUGCACAAUGGGCGGAAGCCUGAUGCAGCGACGCCGCGUGGGGGAUGACGGCCUUCGGGUUGUAAACUCCUUUCACCAUCGACGAAGGGUUUCUGACGGUAGAUGGAGAAGAAGCACCGGCUAACUACGUG